rnacentral:lncRNA from 1 species
GGAAAACAUGAGCUGGGGGUGGCUGCAGUGGGGGCAUAGGCUGGCACUGCCACAGUGCCCCCCUCAUACCUGCCCACCCCUGGGAAUCCUAAGGCUGCUAGGGGGCUCACAGUCCUUUGUCCCCUCACCUGGCAGCUUUGUGACUCCACCUUCCUGCCAUCCACUUUCAGUGGCUCCAACUCCUCCUUCAGGGGAGCCCAUCCCUUGUUUUCCCAGCCUGGGUCUGCUGAAGCUUUGUGGGAUGUGCUGGGAUUCUGAGGAGCUGCUCCUCCACGUGCUGCCCACCCCUUGCCCUUCCCGUGGCCCUGCUCCCAGAGGUGUUUGCCCCAUCCCCACACCCCACCCAGCUGCACCAGUUUCAGGGUUGGUGUUCCUGCUCCCAGGAAAGGGGGCAGCCCGAGGGAAAGGUUCAGCACUGGUUCUGUUGGGAGCAGCACCACGGAGAAGCCGGCAGCUCUUGGAAGUGGAGUGUUGGAGGAACAAGAGAGCAUCUGGAUGGGCCCGGGGGCCGUGCUGGACGGAAGGAAAGGCCGGGUGUCCGCGGCUGUGGCAGGUGCUCCCGCGACUCGGCGUGACCUCUCC